rnacentral:other from 1 species
UUAACCCUGCUAUGCAGGUGAUGUCGCACUCAAAGUUUUGUACCAACAAUUGUAUGAAGGGUUCUGAUCUCUCAGAGAUUACGCGAUAGGCCUGAGCCAAGGCGAAAGUUCUGCGGUAAGGACCCACCUGUGAAAGCAGGUUCAAAACAUAGCGGCACACGGCUUCGGCGGGGUUACC